rnacentral:rRNA from 1 species
AUGAGGAGUUUUCCCGUAAGAUGGCGAAGAUGCGUCUUGAGAUUGAAGAAAAGUAUAAGCGGGACUGUGAGGACAUGGAAAAAAAGUUUUUCCUUGGCUACAAGUAAAUGCAUCAAACGUUGCAGAAGGACCGGAAGCUUGUGGACAGUAUUAUACAGACAGAGCGAGUCAGGAUGGAUGCCUAUGUGUUGCAGGCACGUUCGGAUAUGGACAGCAAGCUGCUACAGGAGCGGUCGGACAUGGAUUAUAAGGCCAUGCUGGAGAAGGUCCGUUUGGAAGGACAUAUGUUAG